CUAGCUGUAAACGAUGGAUACUAGGCGUUGAGAGUAUCGACCCUCUCAGUGUCGUAGCUAACGCGUUAAGUAUCCCGCCUGGGGAGUACGCGCGCAAGCGUGAAACUCAAAGGAAUUGACGGGGGCCCACACAAGCGGUGGAGUACGUGGUUUAAUUCGAUGCAACGCGAAGAACCUUACCAGGGCUUGACAUGUCCGGAACCCUGCCCAAAGGCGGGGGUGCCUACGGGAACCGGAACACAGGUGGUGC
rnacentral:rRNA from 1 species